GUCAUUGAAAAUUGAAGACUGUCAUUGAAAAUGAAGAGUGGGGAUUUUUGUUGUCAUCACUAAUUGAAAACUUUCAAACACUUUCUCAGAACUGGAAGAACUCUACUUGCACCAAAGUAGCAUAGCAAGAGACAGCUUUUAAGGGAAAAGGAAGACCUGAGAAUUUAUACUGUUUUGGUGUGCUGCCCUUCCAUGCCUGAGCACGAAACAGAUGAAAUAAUCGGUUCCCUUGGGUAUACAAAUUAAAAGCCCGUUCACCAUGGAGUGCACAGCCUCUCAUUUCUGAGCAGGUGAACAUGUAGCAACUAGACAUUUCAUACAGCAUGCUAUGAAGUCUAGAAGCCAGGAGAACUUGUUUUCAAAAAAGGCAGGCAAGGUCACAGCAUGCACUGAGUAAGGAAGUAUCACUCUACCAUGUAUUUAUUUGCUGUGCUUAAACACAGAAGGAUUUCACCAGAUUCAAGCCAGAGGAAAAGUUGACCUGGUGAAGAGUUAAGAGGUCAAGCAAGAAAGUUUUCAACAUCUUUUUGAUGCACACCUCCCAUGUUGAAUAGCACAUGACACACUGGAGUGUUUACCAGAAAGUCAUUUGCCUUCAGGAACCAUAAAAAAACUUGAUUUGUUUUCUGCCAAAUUUUGUGAGCUUGGAAAAUCUCAAUUAGAUAAAAAAUGCUUUGAAAUGAAACACUGACUUAUCUGCUUUCAGGAAGGGAGGUGGAAGGGACAGAGUCUCUGUGAUUCUGUGUCAUAACAUUCUGGGGUUUUAUGUAUAAACACAAAUUCUUAAAAGUCUAUAAAAUUUCACUUAAACCCAAAAUAGACCGAAGAUAUGAAAUACAAAAUAUUCCAUUUCUAGUAUAGCUUUGAACAGACAAUGCAUCUUUAUGUAGUAUUUGAUUUAGUGCCCAUUUUAUCACAGAUGGUAUAAUCACAAAAAACUGAACACUUGAAAGGAAUCUGACAAAUAGAACCAGAUGUAAAACAUCUUGAAGCUGACAAAUUCAUGACAAAGAUUAAGGAGGACUUGAAAAUACAGGGUUUCAAAGCUUCCACUAGACUAACGUACCUGUUCAGUCCAGAAGUGCUUUCCUACUUCCUGAUGGGUUUACACAGCAAGAAGAUGCAGUAGGAAUUAGAUCAGAUGCAAUUCUGUUUGGGGCAGAUUCAUUACCUCGUCUCUGCAGCAGAGCCAGAGCACAGAAUAACCACACAUAAAAUACAACAAAAAUUAAGAACAUGGAUGCCUUGACCUCAAGAGAACUAUUACAGGCAGGUGGGAAACAAGGAAGAAAUGUGCUGUUGUACUCUAAUAAUUAAACUGGAUGGAUCCUAAAGAAUCCUUCUAUCUAUGAAUAAUUUUUGUUACUGGUUAAGGCAAGGGCCCUGUGGCAUCACUUUUACAAAAUCAUUUUCAAACCAUAAUAAGAACACUAUGCAAAAGGAUACUCCGUUCUAUGAAUGUUUUUAAAAAAGAACCAGCCAAGCAAACUAACAUUUCUUUUACUUAAUCUUCACAAACAACUGCCCUCAUCUGAAGAAAUGCCCUCAUCUACUUGUAACCACAAUGUACUGUUUAUGCUGCACUUAAAAUUUUAUUUCCUCACACUGGCCAAAGAUGACCAUUAGCACCUGUAUCCUCACUGCCACAGUUUUAAAGUCCAACACAAAAAGCAAACACUAGUCUGCCUGAAAAGUUAAAAUGCUUCCAAAAGUUCCCAAAAGUACUUGUUCAAAACUCGAGUGCUGAUCAGAAGAAAGUAGAAACUUGAGCCAAGCAUGGGAGAGCCGAGAUCUAGGAGAGGCGAGCAGACACCACCAGCAGCCAGGAAAGGCAGCAGUGCCAGAAGUGUUAUUUCCACUCUUGACUCAUGACUCUUAAAUCCCUUCAAAAAAAUCUUUCAAAGCUCUCAUCCACUCUAGUGGUUCUGGAUACUAUCCACAUUAAUCACUCCUAGGAAAAGAAGAAAACAUUAUGCUUGUGCAAGCAAAAACCUCAUCAAGCUCCAUGUAAAAUUUAAAAGUUUGCCCUUUCUAGCAUUUGGAGUCCGAAAGUAUAAUGGAAAGAAAGCACUGAGUCAACAGUGGAGCAUCUGCAACCACUUUCAGUGAAGAUGGAAGAUAACUGGUGCUGGAGGCAUGCUCAGGACGAGCCCUCCUACAUGCCAGAUGCCUUCAGAAUUCCAGCUUGCUGGCUAUUGUCACCAUUUGGUACAAAGGGAAACACUGCUGGAACAAAGUUAGUUUUAAUAUAGCUCCACCAAAACAUCUCUUGCCCCACAGGGAUUAGUUACCUAGUUGUCUCCCCUCUGGUUUCCAAUCAAGAUUCAAAUCUGUCAGCAAUUUAACUUCACGAUGUCAGCUUUGUACUGAUUUCUAGAUGCUGGGCUACAUGAAGAGAUCGUGUAGUAUUGGAAGAAUCAGCAUUCUGAAUCUGAACUGUCAGCGCUAAGCACCCAGUGCUUAUUCAGGCUACUUCAAAGAAAGGGUUUUUGGUGCCAUGCCGUAGCAGCUUCUGUCUGAGAAGCAUGAAAACAGAAAUAUACUUUUGAGGAACCAAAAACAUUGUUCAGCAGGUGGAAAAACUCCUGCUAAAGGAAAGGGUUGUGAAUAUUUUGUUUUAUCUGAACCUUGGAUCACUUUAAAACAAAAGGAAAUUAUCCUUGGGUUCCAUUUUGUUUUCUCUUAGUAUAUUCAUGUGUAGUAUACAGCAGAAUUUACUGUCUACAGAAGGUUUCUUAUGUUCUCAACCUCAAAAAUACUCAUAUCCUCUUCACUUCUAUCUUGUAUGUAUGCUGCAUGAGAUUACAGUUCCCAUGGAUGGCUUUAGUUUUGGGACCAUAAAUUAUUGCCAUGUGCAUUUCAGGCCUCUUCAACUCUUUUGUCCUUCAUGGGUGACAAACCAUGAUUUCUAUCACAGCAAAGAAGUGUAGCAACAUCCAUAUCAGUUUAUGGUUCUAGAAUUAUUAAAUUAGUAGCAACAUUAUUUCCUAAAACAUUAAUCAUCCAUUGUUAGAAGUGACAAAUUUUUACUUCAUUAUAUAAUUAUUUUAGGGUUUUUUAUUUUCACAUAUUAUGUUUUGCUUUUUCCAUCUGUUAGUUUCCAUGAAGUUGCGACACAGUUUUGGCACAAACUGGGUAAUUUCCAUCACAAUAUAUUCAUCUUUCUUCAUAUUUUCAUCAACAUCUGGAAUCAUUCUGCGUUUCUCAGAGAAAAUAUUCCCCAAAUCUUACUCCUUAAGUGAGUGGGGAAAUUUGACUCUAGAUGAUGCUCUAAUGCAAUAACUUUCUACAUUGUUUGAGUCUGUUUCUUUAAAAGCACACUUUGUUCAAAGUAAGAGGAAAAAUUUAUCUUUAUCAACAUUUAACUGCUCCUAAUAGCUGUGUCAAUAUUCAAAAUUGUAAAGUAUGACUGUUCUACUACUUUUAUUUUUUAGGUCUGCUUUACUAACUCAUGAAAGCAUGUAAAAUAUUAAAAUUAUAAACACUAUAAAAAAGUGCAUCUGCAGCACAGGAAACAAAGACAAAACUCAAAUUUUCCUUAAUACAAAUAUAUAAUCUACAAAAACCCUUUAAGUAAUUUCUGGAUUCUUGUUACUUCCGCUUCAGAUGCUAUCUUAACCCAAAUAAAAAAUAAAGGAAUUUUAUACCAAAGCACAAGUUUAUUGUGUGCUCUUCAGAUUACAAGAUAGCCCUUACUCACAACUACACCUAAUUCAAAAUAAGAGCUCUUUCAUCUUUAACCAUGCUAAAAUACCUCCCCCUACCCGCUCAAACAUUCUUACAGCUCACCGCUUUCAAAGCAGCUCUCAACAACAUAACAGACACCAACCAUGCAUAUGGCAGAUUUUUCUACAAGCUCCCCAGUUUUUGCAUCUUCUGACACCCUCAAAAAUUUUGUAGCAACUCCAAAUAAAACCAAAGCUUCCUUCUGCUCAAGUAUCUGUGAUACAAAGGAAGCUAUUUCUUCAAGGAUAAAAAGUAUUUCCAACAGUGUCCAGACUUGCCUGGAAUCAAAUACUCCUUGGCUUUCUUACAGUAGGAGCACAAGUUUCUGAAUACUCCUGCCCAUCACACCUGUACUGACCAGCUUACAACAGUACUCAUAAAACUUGUGUAAAGUCCUCCAGCAACUGUUAGAUUGGAAUAGGAUUCAAAUGUAAAGACAGAUCCCUCACUUUUAAUCUUUCCAGAGCUUGGAGACUCCACCUAUUUUUUCUUGUGUAUUGGCAACUUUUCUUACAAUGCAACUUUUUAUUCAGACUGAAAAUCACUAGUUUCCUUCCACUGACUGGUAGCAGAGAGAGAUAUGCCCAGUUUGUUCAGGGAGCAAUCCUGUUGAUGAUGUACCAUGCCAGCUGCUGGGAACGUUGCUUGCACUAUAAGGAGAGCAGUCAACAAGCUCUAAUGCUCCAUCGCCUCCUUUUCUGUCCCACACCAGUUUUACACUCUGCUGACUAAAGCUGUUGGAAGCAAUAUGCCCAAAUAAAUGGUCCACAAAGGAAACUACCUUGCUUCAGACCCUCCUAGUUCACUAUAGGUCAGACAUCAGAAACACUGUGCAAUUUGCAAGCCCACCUGCCUGUAAAUUUCCACUUAAUUUAUAUCAAUGCCUAGUAAAUUGGUGCUUAGAACCACACCCUUCAGUUGUCCUCAGCAGAACAGUUUGUUGAUCUCUUUCCUUCACAAACUUGUUUCCACAUCUGCACUUCUCAGGAGGUAUUCAGAAAAACAACUCUGAGUUUUGCACGGUCAGUGAGCCAGGAAUAGCCAUUGGAGAGCUGUGUCUAUAAAACAGAGACCAUGCUGUAUCUCGGGAUAAUGAGAUGCCCGAGAGCACCGAGUGAGGUAGAGCAAUACUGAACCUGUAGCAGCAGCUGUGGAGCAAACAGACAGGACUGACUGUGUCUGUUGUGUGCACAUCACCUCAGUGUGGCAGCUGUGCCUCUUGCCAGGCUGACUGGUCAUGUCCCAGCAGCUUUAAGAAAGAAUUUCCUUCCCUCGUACUUCUACAGUGGAAGUGACAGUACAAUGACCAUCAUAAAAAACCACACAACUCUCUGCUAACCUGACCAAAACAGUCAUUAAAAUGGGAAGACCAAAGAAUAGAACUUGUGAGCCAAACCACUAAAACCUGCCAAGAACUGAAUCUGUGAUAUUUUACUGCUUCUUAGAUUAAGGAGAGGCACCCCAGAAAAGCAUUCUCACUUAAAAGUCAAAGACACUGUAUGUGAAACAAAAAGAAUAGUAAAACACAUGAAGCAUUAACAUGUGAAAGAAACAUGUUGUCAUUAUGUCAAAUACUGCUUUUUAUAUUUUAUUAACAAGCAAGCAUCCCUGGAACUGAGUCGAUAUAAAAAUACUUCAUGAACCAAUCAGAAUACAAGGGAGUUAUAUAAAUUUAUUUUAUGCAACACUGAUUAGUUUUGAAAAUUUCCAUUUUUUAUGUUUUAAUUUCAACUUUCAUUUUUUAAAAAAAAUCACUAAAAGGACACAACCCACAAAAAUACAAUCUGUAUCUGCUCUAUAUUUACAGAUAACUGGUCACUGUUAAGGCACA